UCGGCCAAUACAAUUUUCUCCACUCCAACACACAACCUCCCAAACACUCAACCUCUCCCUCACCGCAAAAUCACCUCCACCUUAUCUCAGCUUCAACCACAACAUUUACUUCGCCUUGUUAUCAUCGACGAAGUGCGAGAGAGGGAGUUGCAUUCUGAAAUCUGCAAUUCGAAAGGAAAGAAAAGGAAGGAAACCGAGAGAAACUAGCCUUAUUUGUUCUUGUCUGCCACUAGCCACCGAAAAGAAACAAUCUUGUCAUUCCUAAGCAAUAAGACCCAACCACAAACACCACAGCUGCAACCCUUGAGCCAGACCAGCUACACCAAGUGCGAUAGCAGCCAAGAGGAGAGAAAAAAAAAUUGCAGAACCUUAUUGCGUGAGCUAAGCUUCAAACCAAGGUGCUCAAGCUAGUCUUGAAGAGAAUCCCGGAGAGGACAACUAACGAUUCUCUCGCUCAAUUACUCUUGAAUUGUGAGUGUCAAGUGCAUGACUUGUCGUGUUUACUUGAUUUACCUGCUUAUAUACGUGAAUAUCACUUGAUGGGACGAGUGUGUACUUUAUCGCACUCGCUCUCCUUUACUUGAACUUUACUUGUAUUAACUUGGUUUUCAAAGUCGAUUUGAGUGAACCUCGUCGGCUAAAAUAUAUCCGUUUUCGUGUACAUGUCGUGUUGUCGUGCGUGUUGUGCUUGCUGUGCGUGUCGUGCGUGACGUGUUGUCGGGUGGAGUGAAACUCCUCGACUUAUGGGGACGCCCAAAUUCUCUUAGCCAAUCUUGCAACUCGAGCCGGCAUGGGCUUGGUCGAGAAGCUUGAUAAGCCAAGGGAACAACAAAACAUAACUUGAUCUUUUGAGAUCUUGUUCGGCAUACUCGUGGAGUAUCGCCCUUUUCGUGCGUGUUCAAAAAUCAAAACUUGAUUUCUUGAGGUCUCGUUCGGUAUACUCAACGAGUAUUGCCCUUUUCGUGCGUGUUUGGUUACGGAUCCGAGAGGGUGGAUUGUUGGUCGGAGGAAGUAAUAAGGGAAGUUUCUAUGGAUAUAAUACCCACCCGGAUGACGGAGGGUCAUUGUGAGGGGGUAUCGGAUCGAGCCGUGGCGAAGCAAGUGGAAAAUAGCUCCUGAGAGCUCCUAUAUCUUUGAAUUGUUUCUGUUUACUUGCCUCGCUUGAAUUGUAAAUUACUUGAACCUUAUUGUUCUACUUGAACAACGUGUGUGCAUGUGUGUUUUCUUGGCCCCACGAGCGAUUGGCUCACCGUGUAUAUUUGUUUUCCUUGACAGGUUCUAGAAAUUGAGAGCUUUACAAUUUACUUAGACUUUCUUAUGGAUGUAAAUGAAUACUAUGACUUUGCUUUGCGGUUGGUAAUGUCUAAUGUUACUUAUGUCAUGUAUCGGAUUGAAGAUACGCUAAGCUAGGUGUACUUGAUGCUUUGGAUUGCCACUUGAAACUGGAAAAGUGCAAUCCCUAAUUCAGAUAUUCGGCUUGUAUGUUCGUAUUUAUGUUGUAUGAACUUGUAUGUUUGGAAGGGUAUGACUUUAGACUUGGGUUGUAACGCGUAAGGUUCUUAAGAGUCGACGAUUGGCUAUAUUGAAAUGCUGUUAUCUCUGAA